rnacentral:rRNA from 1 species
GAUGAACGCUGGCGGCGUGCCUAAUACAUGCAAGUCGAGCGAACAGACGAGGAGCUUGCUCCUCUGACGUUAGCGGCGGACGGGUGAGUAACACGUGGAUAACCUACCUAUAAGACUGGGAUAACUUCGGGAAACCGGAGCUAAUACCGGAUAAUAUAUUGAACCGCAUGGUUCAAUAGUGAAAGACGGUUUUGCUGUCACUUAUAGAUGGAUCCGCGCCGCAUUAGCUAGUUGGUAAGGUAACGGCUUACCAAGGCGACGAUGCGUAGCCGACCUGAGAGGGUGAUCGGCCACACUGGAACUGAGAAACGGUCCAGACUCCUACGGGAGGCAGCAGUAGGGAAUCUUCCGCAAUGGGCGAAGGCCUGACGGAGCAACGCCGCGUGAGUGAUGAAGGUCUUCGGAUCGUAAAACUCUGUUAUUAGGGAAGAACAAAUGUGUAAGUAACUAUGCACGUCUUGACGGUACCUAAUCAGAAAGCCACGGCUAACUACGUG